rnacentral:rRNA from 1 species
UACGUAGGGUGCAAGCGUUAUCCGGAAUUAUUGGGCGUAAAGAGCUCGUAGGCGGUUUGUCACGUCUGCUGUGAAAACUGGAGGCUCAACCUCCAGCCUGCAGUGGGUACGGGCAGACUAGAGUGCGGUAGGGGAGAUUGGAAUUCCUGGUGUAGCGGUGGAAUGCGCAGAUAUCAGGAGGAACACCGAUGGCGAAGGCAGAUCUCUGGGCCGUAACUGACGCUGAGGAGCGAAAGCACGGGGAGCGAACAGG